UACGGGGGGGGCAAGCGCUGUUCGGAAUUACUGGGCGUAAAGGGCUCGUAGGCGGCCAACUAAGUCAGACGUGAAAUCCCUCGGCUUAACCGGGGAACUGCGUCUGAUACUGGAUGGCUAGAGGCUGGGAGAGGGAUGCGGAAUUCCAGGUGUAGCGGUGAAAUGCGUAGAUAUCUGGAGGAACACCGGUGGCGAAGGCGGCAUCCUGGACCAAUUCUGACGCUGAGGAGCGAAAGCCAGGGGAGCAAACGGG
rnacentral:rRNA from 1 species